UACGUAGGUGGCGAGCGUUGUCCGGAUUUACUGGGUGUAAAGGGCGUGUAGGCGGGGAAACAAGUCAGAUGUGAAAUCCCGUGGCUUAACUGCGGGGCUGCAUCUGAAACUGUUUUUCUUGAGUGCUGGAGAGGAAAGUGGAAUUCCCAGUGUAGCGGUGAAAUGCGUAGAGAUUGGGAGGAACACCAGUGGCGAAGGCGGCUUUCUGGACAGUAACUGACGCUGAGGCGCGAAAGCGUGGGGAGCAAACAGG
rnacentral:rRNA from 1 species